rnacentral:rRNA from 1 species
CCUANGGGGGGCAGCAGUGGGGAAUCUUGCGCAAUGGGCGAAAGCCUGACGCAGCCAUGCCGCGUGAAUGAUGAAGGUCUUAGGAUUGUAAAGUUCUUUUGCCCGUGACGAUGAUGACGGUAACGGGAGAAUAAGCCCCGGCUAACUUCGUGCCAGCAGCCGCGGUAAUACGAAGGGGGCUAGCGUUGUUCGGAAUUACUGGGCGUAAAGCGCGCGUAGGCGGUUUUGCAAGCCAGAGGUGAAAUGCCUGAGCUCAACUUAGGAAUUGCCUUUGGGACUGCGAGGCUUUGAGGACUGGAGAGGUGAGUGGAAUUCCCAGUGUAGAGGUGAAAUUCGUAGAUAUUGGGAAGAACACCGGUGGCGAAGGCGGCUCACUGGCCAGUUUCUGACGCUGUAGCGCGAAAGCGUGGGGAUCAAACAGGAUUAGAUACCCCANUANUC